GCAGGUCAGGUUGCAGUUGCAGGGGAGUGGGCAGGGUUGGGAUAGCGCAAGUGAGCUGAACUUCUGCGCUGGUGUAGUGUACUAUCCUCAAUUUAAUACUUUAUUUGAGAAAUUAUUUUCUUUGAUGAAAAUAGCUCUUGCUGCGUGUGUUCUGAUAGGACACCACUGAGGAAUGUUGGAUUUGCUCUUCUUCGUGUAAUUAAUGGGUUUAUUGGGAAGUUGAGAUAUUUACAGUGAUUCUCCGGAUUUCCAUGGUCUCCUGUGGCAUCAGAACUUGUGAUUUCUGAAAGCAGGUAAGCCACUGACUAACGCACAUUGCGCCUAUUCUCUACUCCACUGUGCGUGUGACAGCGGCUAACCAGCUUUUGGAUGUGUGCCUGACUUCAGCAGCCGUGGGAAUGUCCCACUGGAGACUACUUAACGGAUCCAGGCGGAUACAGUCACCGGAGGGACACUUUUGGGUCCACGGUCCCUCUACAAGUCUUUGUUGCUGUAGCUCAGCUGGUAAUACUUGAAACACGAAGGUUGUGUGUUCGAUUCCCACAUGUCCUGAAUAAAUGCGCUGGGAUUAAUGUACAGUAAAUGUAAUUUUUGUAUGACAUCAGCCUACGUGCAGUGUGUCACCGCCAGUGCUGGAUAUACAUGUGCUCCUGUACAGUCUUGUACAUUACCGAUUAAACUUGUAUCUCUAGAUUAAGUUUAGUAUGCAAUAAUAAUUUUAUCAAUAUAUUUUGCAUGUAUCCAGCAGCUCUGAACUUUUGAACUUGUUCAGUUAGCUGUGGGAGUGUCAUUAUGUCAAUUUAAAUAACUUUGAAUCGUAUUUUACAUGUUACUUCAGUGUGACAAUCAAUGUUAUUUUCUAUUAAUUUAUCAUUAAAGUUUCAUUUUGUUCAUCAUUUUCA